UUUUUAACCCAGCCAGAGACGGUCACAAGCCCGUGAAAUGGGGAGUGGAAA
rnacentral:ribozyme from 2 species